GACGAACGCUGGCGGCGUGCCUAAUACAUGCAAGUAGAACGCACAGUUUAUACCGUAGCUUGCUACACCAUAGACUGUGAGUUGCGAACGUGUGAGUAACGCGUAGGUAACCUGCCUGGUAGCGGGGGAUAACUAUUGGAAACGAUAGCUAAUACCGCAUAAUAUUGAUUAUUGCAUGAUAAUUAAUUGAAAGGUGCAAUUGCACCACUACCAGAUGGACCUGCGUUGUAUUAGCUAGUAGGUGAGGUAACGGCUCACCUAGGCGACGAUACAUAGCCGACCUGAGAGGGUGAUCGGCCACACUGGGACUGAGACACGGCCCAGACUCCUACGGGAGGCAGCAGUAGGGAAUCUUCGGCAAUAGACGAAAGUCUGACCGAGCAACGCCGCGUGAGUGAAGAAGGUUUUCGGAUCGUAAAGCUCUGUUGUAAGAGAAGAACGGGUGUGAGAGUGGAAAGUUCACACUGUGACGGUAUCUUACCAGAAAGGGACGGCUAACUACGUG
rnacentral:rRNA from 1 species